AUGGGGGACAUGUUGUUAACUGCUGGAAACUAUUUUUAUAACUCUUCUAACUCUUGUACUAGUAAAGUCUUAAUGUCUCUAAAAUGGACAGGUGACCAUCGGAUUUCCUUAGCAAAUAUAAUCUUGGAUUUAUCCAGAUACAACAACUUGGAUUAGAAGCCCAAAUAAAGCUCAAAAAGGGUGAAUGGGCUUUGGAUGUUGUUCUGGAGAAAUCUGUUGUCAAGCAAAGCGGUGAUGCAUGGAGAAUUAUUCUCGAUUCUUGCCUCCCUGUGCUUCACCUAAUUGGCACUAGGCGUUCCAUCCCGUGUGCUAACAAACAGAUUCAAGAAACUAUUGGGAGUGUCUUGUGCUUUUGGUCAAGCAGUUCAGGAGCAGCUUAUCCUCCUGGCAAAUAGCAUGACGUGCUGGAAAUUUUGUCGGCUUAAUUCUAGUGGAUAUAAAGCACUAUCUCGAGCAUUGAAUAUUUAAGUAGCAUUUACAGAAGCAACAUGUUUUGUGAGUAAUUGAAUUCUUUUGCCUAAUUCUGUGAGUGGCAUGUACCUUUAGUUCGUGGUUAGAUUAACUACAGUCACAACUAAUUGUAGUUUCAUUACACCAUGAAAGGUGCUGAAAAGUGCCACAUGGACAUGGAUUCUUUGUCAAGCAUAGUUGCAUCCUGUUCAUGAGGUAAACAUGUUGCUGUUGGUAGUGGAUCCAGGUUUGAUAUCCUGUGGGACACGAGAGAGGGAGGAUUGAAUCAAGAGGGUGGACUCGAUGUUUUCAACUUUCUGCAUAUGGUGAGCACAAAAUUGAUGUUUCGGAAGCUCACAUUAGUCCUCUGAUGGACUCCCUACACCUCCACAAAAACCCACUUUCUUAGCAUUCAUAUGAGAUUCAAAAGGGAGAAACCGAAAACGGUGGAUUGCAGUUUGGGUAACAAAAGACCUGGAAGCAGAUGCAAAUUGAUACAACCAGAGGACUGCAUUGCCUUGAUCAACAUUUGUAUGGUGGAUCCAUGAUUGGUUGUAAAUUGGUAAAACCAAGCCGUGUAAAUGGAAAUUUAUUGAACACCCCCAGUAUUUAGUAAAUCAAAAAAUGAUUAGUGAAAUUUUGUAGACAUUGUCAUUCAUCGUAAAGAAGAAAAGAUAAG